CCUACGGGGGGCAGCAGUAGGGAAUCUUCCACAAUGGGCGAAAGCCUGAUGGAGCAACGCCGCGUGGGUGAAGAAGGUCUUCGGAUCGUAAAACCCUGUUGUUAGAGAAGUAAGUGCGUGAGAGUAACUGUUCACGUUUCGACGGUAUCUAACCAGAAAGCCACGGCUAACUCCGGGCCAGCAGCCGCGGUAAUACGUAGGUGGCAAGCGUUAUCCGGAUUUAUUGGGCGUAAAGGGAACGCAGGCGGUCUUUUAAGUCUGAUGUGAAAGGCUUCGGCUUAACCGGAGUAGUGCAUUGGAUACUGGGAGACUUGAGUGCAGAAGAGGAGAGUGGAACUCGAUGUGUAGCGGUGAAAUGCGUAGAUAUAUGGAAGAACACCAGUGGCGAAAGCGGCUCUCUGGUCUGUAACUGACGCUGAGGUUCGAAAGCGUGGGUAGCAAACAGGAUUAGAUACCCGUGUAGUC
rnacentral:rRNA from 1 species